GGUAAAGUGGCUGAGAAAGCAUUAGACUGUAAAUCUAAAGACAGAGGUCGUAACCCUCUUUUUGCCA
rnacentral:tRNA from 1 species